rnacentral:lncRNA from 1 species
AAGGAGAAUCGGCUCUACCUGUCUUUCCUACGAACAGCGCUCAGGAACCAUAAAUCAGAAAGAGGAGCGAGCAUUCCAUCAAAGAAGAAUCUUUCUGACUCUCCUAGAAUGGAUCAACAAUGAGACUCUUAUAUCAAAGAGCGAACCGCAGCCGCUAAAGAUGGUGCUCGUUUGUGGAAGGCCCAUGCAUGAAGUCAGGUUGCCCGAGAAGGAGAAGCAAGCGCAUGAAGUCAGGUUGCCCGAGAAGGAGAAGCAAGCACUUUGUUCGGAAACUCCAAUAAAAAGAAAGAAGACCCGAAGGCCUCUGACUCUGACUACCCAACAUCCACAUCACUACUUACGAAAUGAUUCCAUCACGUCCGGG